rnacentral:rRNA from 1 species
GAUUAGCGUAGGCACUUGGGGCAAGUUCCUUGGAAGAGGACAGCAUUGAGGGUGAUACUCCCGUUCCCUCCCGAGUUGCUUAUGCGUAUAAUCCGUUUUCUUUGAGUCGCGUUGUUUGAGAAUGCAGCGCAAAGUAGGUGGUAAAUUCCAUCUAAAGCUAAAUAUUGGUGCGAGACCGAUAGCAAACAAGUACCGUGAGGGAAAGAUGAAAAGAACUUUGAAAAGAGAGUUAAAGAGUACCUGAAACUGCUGAAAGGGAACCAAAUCGUUUCCAGUAUCUAUAAUCCGCGGUAUAUUUCAUUGGCGAAUGUGUGCGUGCAUGUACUAUGGCAGCGGCUUUUUGCUGCGCCUUGUGUGUGUUUCGCAUUUUCUCGCUGGUGCCCUGUACUGUGGUGGGACGUCAAUGUCGGUUCGUAUGCUGCGGGAAAUGACUGCCGAGGAGGUAGGGCGAACGCUUGCGUUUGUCUGUUACAUCUGGGCGGACUUAGUAGUCGUGGUUGGGACUGAGGUGCCUAUAAUGUGCUUAUGAGUGGGAUCGAAUCUCCAUGUGCGCCGUGUGCGGAUAGCUUGCUAUGCGUGUGUAGCUGUGUGUGGAUUGAGUCGAGACGUAACUUAUUGCCGUUCGGGACGUUGACGAAAUGGAGCGAUUUGACCCGUCUUGAAACACGGACCAAGGAGUCUAACAUGUGUGCAAGUGUUAGGGUGUGGAAACCCCAGCGCGUAAUGAAAGUAAAGGAUAGCGUAAGUUAUCUUAGGUAGGAAAUGCUGCGGGUUCGUCCUGCGGCGUGGCACUAUCGACCGAUCAUGAACCUUCGUGGUGAAAGAUUUGAGUUUGAGCACAUAUGUUGGUACCCGAAAGAUGGUGAACUAUGCCUGAGUAGGGUGAAGCCAGAGGAAACUCUGGUGGAAGCUCGUAGCGAUUCUGACGUGCAAAUCGAUCGUCAAACUUGGGUAUAGGGGCGAAAGACUAAUCGAACCAUCUAGUAGCUGGUUCCCUCCGAAAUUUCCCUCAGGAUAGCAGCAACUGAUUUACGAUAGUUUUAUGAGGUAAAGCGAAUGAUUAGAGGAUUCGGGGAAGAAAUUUUCUCGACCUAUUCUCAAACUUUAAAUCUGUAAGACCUGCA